rnacentral:tRNA from 1 species
GCCCGUGUAGCUCAGUUGGUAGAGCAGGUGACUCUUAAUCACUUGGUCGGGGGUUCGAAUCCUCCCGCGGGCA